rnacentral:lncRNA from 1 species
AUGUGUCAGCAGCCUGCGUGGAAGCAGGAAGAAGCUGCUCGGAGGGGUAUAAAUUUGGAUGGGCAAAGCAGGCUGAGCCACCUUGAGGAGACAGCGCAAGGAGAAGAGAUCUGUUCCUUAAACGGCGGUGUCUGCAACCCCCCAGCCGCAAAAGAUGACUCUGAAGGCAGCAGCCUUGAUCCUCUGCCUUUUGGCUAUCACAGGUAACCCAGAAGGGCUCUGCUGACCCUGAUAUCUGCACUCACUCUGGUCCUAUUUCCAACUGUUGAAUUCUAAAUAUUGUUCAGUCUUUGUAAAUUCUCACUGACCCAUUUCUUGUUGCGCUGGCUGGCCAAGGCAUAGCUGGAGAAAUGCUGUAUAGCUCAGAUCUCGGAAUGUACUGAGCAAUGCUUGUCUUGCAGCUCAGGUUUAGCAAAUCAGUGUGAUUAACCUAAAAUCUUGUGAGUCGGGCACAGCAGAAUGAUUCUUUACUAAAGAGCUUUGCCCAGUUGUUACAAUUAUUAUUAUUAUUCCCUGCCCAUCUGGCUGGGUUGCCCCAGCCAUUCUGAGUGGCUUUCAACAUAUAAAAACAUAACAAAACGUCAAACAUUAAAAACUUCCUGAUACAGGGUUGCCUACAGAUGUCUUCUAAAAAUUGUGCAGUUCUUUAUCUCCUUGGCAUUUGAUGGGAGGGCGUUCCAAACGGAGGGCACCACUGCUGAGAAGGCCCUCUGCCUGGCAAUAACAUUGUUUGAGAAACCUCAAUGAACUGGCCAGGAGAAAAGCAAACCGAGAGACUGGAUUUCAGAGUGGGAGGCAGAUCAGGCUGAAACAGGGUGUCUGCUUGAAACGGAAAGGAGUACUGGCAAAUCUGGGCACCGUAGAAAGAAGCAUGUGGCUAGCCUUUCUGUGCUGGGCUGGCUACAUACAUUAAACCUGGCAGACUUGCUGAGAGGCCUCAUCUGUUUGAAGAAGUCUUGGUCCUACCCAGACUUGAUGGAUAUGUGCAUGCAUUCUUAAAGGGAAGGGUCUGUGUGGUUCUCCCAGUAUUCCCAGAAAUUAUGGGAGUUCAGCUGUGGCUUUGCUUUUUUUUUUAAUAUAAAUAAUUUUUAUUAAUUUAAAACAAAAACAAAAACACACAGUAAUUUCACAUCCAAUUUUUCACAAAGUAUUUCUUUUCUGGACUUCCUUCAGCUUUUCCAUAAAUCAUUCGUAGUCAUUAUUUAAUUUAUGCAUUUCUUAGGUUUGUAUUGUCAUUAUUUGAGCCUUUCUUUUUCUAUUCCCUUUUAACAAUACUUCUCACAUUUCACAGUGCUUCUUUAAAUCCCUCUAGCGUUAUCUGUCCCUCACUUAUACUUUCCAGACAUUCCACAAAUUUUCCCCAGUCCUCGAUGAACUUUGGGUCUCUUAGAUCUUAGCUGUGGCUUUGCAGACACGUGGGACAUUGGCAAGUGGCAGAAGAGUUGGGAUGGGAGGCUGUGAGUCGGGUCACACACAGCACCAACCUGCUCCCCCCUCAUCCUUGCAGGGUCCCAGGCCAAGAUCAACGCCGACCAGGUGGCUGACGUGA